GUAUUUUUUAUUUAAAACAAAUUCGUUAAUAAUGCUUAGUAAUGCAUAAAUUUGUAUUUUUAGCUUUCCAGAAGAACCUGCGAAGAAGGCGUGAAGUAUAGAUCAUAUUUGUUAGUAGAGGAGUAGGUUCACAACAUUUUUUAGAAAAAGAUAUUGACAGAACUUCACUUUCAUCUAUGCCUUUGAGAGACUGUGCUGUUCCAAUAGCUUAUGUCACACAGAAUCAGCUGAGAGAAGUGGUCUACAAAAAACCAGGAAGGAAACGAAAUAUGUGGCUACGAAAGGCAAAA
rnacentral:lncRNA from 1 species